CUCAGUAGCUUGGCUGGCAGAGCGUCUGUCCUCUAAGCAGAAUUUCGCCUGUUUGAUUCCGGUUCGUGAGA
rnacentral:tRNA from 1 species